ACAGCAGUAGCCGCGGUAAUACGUAGGGUGCGAGCGUUAAUCGGAAUUACUGGGCGUAAAGCGUGCGCAGGCGGUUUUGUAAGACAGAGGUGAAAUCCCCGGGCUCAACCUGGGAACUGCCUUUGUGACUGCAAGGCUAGAGUACGGCAGAGGGGGAUGGAAUUCCGCGUGUAGCAGUGAAAUGCGUAGAUAUGCGGAGGAACACCGAUGGCGAAGGCAAUCCACUGGGCCUGUACUGACGCUCAUGCACGAAAGCGUGGGGAGCAAACAGGAUUAGAUACCCGAGUAGUCCCUGUCUCUUAUAC
rnacentral:rRNA from 1 species